AAUGUGGUUAAUGAUGCACACUUUUUUUCCCCGUCUUAUCGAUUUUUGGUGAAAACACUAACUAAGCCAGUUGUGUCUGAAACCACAUC